rnacentral:rRNA from 1 species
GAUGGACCCGCGCCGUAUUAGCUAGUUGGUAAGGUAACGGCUUACCAAGGCGACGAUACGUAGCCGACCUGAGAGGGUGAUCGGCCACACUGGAACUGAGACACGGUCCAGACUCCUACGGGAGGCAGCAGUAGGGAAUCUUCCGCAAUGGGCGAAAGCCUGACGGAGCAACGCCGCGUGAGUGAUGAAGGGUUUCGGCUCGUAAAACUCUGUUAUUAGGGAAGAACAAAUGUGUAAGUAACUGUGCACAUCUUGACGGUACCUAAUCAGAAAGCCACGGCUAACUACGUGCCAGCAGCCGCGGUAAUACGUAGGUGGCAAGCGUUAUCCGGAAUUAUUGGGCGUAAAGCGCGCGUAGGCGGUUUCUUAAGUCUGAUGUGAAAGCCCACGGCUCAACCGUGGAGGGUCAUUGGAAACUGGGAAACUUGAGUGCAGAAGAGGAAAGUGGAAUUCCAUGUGUAGCGGUGAAAUGCGCAGAGAUAUGGAGGAACACCAGUGGCGAAGGCGACUUUCUGGUCUGUAACUGACGCUGAUGUGCGAAAGCGUGGGGAUCAAACAGGAUUAGAUACCCUGGUAGUCCACGCC